rnacentral:rRNA from 1 species
UGCCCUUGACAUUGACAGAAUCCCGUAGAGAUAUGGGAGUGCUUCGGCCUGGAAAACAGGUGCUGCAUGGCUGUCGUCAGCUCGUGUCGUGAGAUGUUGGGUUAAGUCCCGCAACGAGCGCAACCCUUGUCCUUAGUUGCCAGCACGUAAUGGUGGGAACUCUAGGGAGACUGCCGGUGACAAACCGGAGGAAGGUGAGGACGACGUCAAGUCAUCAUGGCCCUUAUGCCUAGGGCGACACACGUGCUACAAUGGGGCGUACAGAGAGCUGCGAUACCGCGAGGUGGAGCCAAUCUCUAAAGCGUCUCUCAGUUCGGAUAACACUCUGCAACUCGAGUGUUGAAGCUGGAAUCACUA